GGCAGGAUGACCGAGUGGUUAAGGUGUGUGACUCAAGUCUUCGGGCUUGUCUCAACUUGAGGCAGAGUGUUCUCAUGGACGCAUGUCCGCGUGGGUUCAAAUCCCACUCCUGUCA
rnacentral:tRNA from 1 species